AAAAGGCAAACACAUCCAGCUGAUUGCAAGGAAGCUUGUUUCGGUGGUCUACGUUCGGUUACAUUUGGCUGUUUUUUACAUAUUGUUCAUCAAGCGCAAUGAGUCAAGAAGAGAUAAAAAAAAAAUACAUGCGACAGAAACUACAAGCGCCACAAAAAGUUGGGUAAACAACAGUUUCCUGUGGAUACCCUAUCUCCACCUCCUAAAGCCUAAAGGACCAACAUCAUGUACAACCGGUAAUGUUUUUGUUGACCUGGGAGCAGAUGCACCCAUCCACUUAGAGUGCCAAGAACAGUUGUUAAGCCAAUCACUGUGCACAUUCUGAUGAAGAGGAUUCUCCAGAGAAGGGACUUCACCCAAUAAACGCUUGGGCUUCACUGACCAAAUGGGGUCUAUCUGGCUGAACAACAGUGAGGAACACGACUAGCAAUUAGAGGACACAACAGGCUAGGAUGAAGGGAGGCAGAGGAAGAGCGAACGACAGAGACAGCAGACAGCCCACAGAGCCUUAAAAUAGUUCUGGGCCCAGCAUGGCCCAGGGAGGGCUGUCAGGCUUUCCCUGUGUGAGGUUUCAUUAUGCUGUCUCGGGGUUGCUGGCAGUGCCCAUGCUCACAGGAUUAAAUUAAGUUUCCUGCCAUAGUCAUGAAAACACUAAGAAUGUCCCCAGGCUCUUUUGUCACAUUGUUAACUUGGAGAGUGCACAGAUAGGCACACCAGUGUUGGAUGUAGGAUCUCUGGAUACAGGGCAGUAUACAGAGAGGAGAGAGGUUAUGUAGGGAGGGUAAAGGUUAAGGCACACACACAAGACAUGCACAGACACAUGCACAUAAACACACACAAACACCCACAUACCAUCCUCAAGAUUAUGUGGAAGGCAUGGAGAGAAAGUGCAUGGACAUAUAACCAAGCUGUCCUGAUAUUGAGGACGACAGAGAUAGCAAUAAGGCCUGGACUGUGUACAUCACUGUGUGUCAAUCCAUAUGGAGAUGUUUUUCCUUACAUGUUCAGAAUUAUAUCAAUCAGUGUUCUAAGGCACUGCAUCUCAGUGCUAAAGGCAUCACCACAGACCCUGGUUCGAUCCCAGGCUGUAUCACAACCGGACGUGAUUGAGAGUCCCACAGGGCGGCACACAAUUGGCCCAGCGUCGUCCGGGUUAGGAUUUGGCCGGGGUAGGCCAUCAUUGUAAAUAAGAAUUUGUUCUUAAUUAACUGACUUGCCUAGUUAAAUAAAGGUUAAAUAAAAAAUGUAUUAAAAUAAUUUACGUACAACAACAAAAAAGCAUUUAAAUGUGAUUAUCAAUUAAAUAAAUAUUUGCAUAUAGCAGUAACUAAUCUACCCCUUGACCUUUAAACAUCAGCAUUACAUUAGAUCUAGAAUGAACAUUGAAUAUUGCCAUAUAAGUAAAACCAAAGCAAUUAAGCCAACAAAUUAAACUCUCAUUAUGAUGAGAAAAACAACAACAAACAUUAAGAUCCAUUCCACGAUCGAUGAUCUAGCUAGGUAAUUUCAUUGCUAUAGACCAAAUGUCCCCACCAUAUUUGCAGUGGAGAUACAUUUCCAUGAUAAACUAAUCUAAAUGAAUGAAUUAAAGGAAGAUAACAUUUUGGUUAAUCAAAGACAAGUAUUUAUCUGUGAGAAAAGCCAAGAGCAUUCCCCUAAUGAUGUCACUGAUUGAACUAUCUUUUUUUGCCAAUAACUACAUAUGUAGGAUCUUAAUUUGAUCAUCCUGUUGCAGGAUACAUUUUCUGAAAUGCAGGAAAUCAAAAAAUGUGUGGUAUAUUUGGUUUGAAAAAGCCUUCUGAAGUUUUUAAUUUCCACAUGAAAUUUCAGACUUGAUUUUCGCAUAUGAAAAAUGUAUCAGCCCCUACAAAAAUGUCCAUUGAAUAUAAUCCAUGUAAUAAUUCACAUUUCCUGUUGCUGCAUGAUCAUUUUCCUGCUGUGGCAAACUGGCUAAAAUUCAAAUAAAAUAAAAUUGUAUUUGUCACAUGCUUAGUAAACAAUGGGUGUAGACUAACAGUGAAACGCUUAGUUGCGGGCCCUUCCCAACAAUGCAGAGAGAAAAAAAAAUAAAUACACAAUGAGUAAUGAUAACUUGGCUAUAGACACUAUAUAACUAUUUAUGGCUUGGGGGUAGAAGCUGUUCAGGGUCCUGUUGGUUCCAGACUUGGUGCAUCGGUACCGCUUGCCGUGCGGUAGCAGAGAGAACAGUCUGACUGAUUCUACUUCUGUAUGAGAUUUGAAAGACAUUCAAGUCACACUUAUAAUGACAUUUCAUGUGCCAGAAAUAGGUUCUGAAUGUCACGCCCUUAGAUUCUCUGUUUUUCUAUAUAUUUUGGUUAGGUCAGGGUGUGACUAGGGUGAGUACUCUAGUUGUUGUAUGUCUAGGGUUUUUGUCACCUAGGGGUUUUGUAUGUCUAUGUUGGCCUGAUAUGGUUCCCAAUCAGAGACAGCUGUUUAUCGUGGUCUCUGAUUGGGGAUCAUAUUUAGGUAGCCAUUUCCCCAUUGUUAGUUGUGGGAUCUUGUCUAUGUUUAGAUGCCUGUCAGCACUAGUUUGUAUAGCUUCACGUUUCGUUUGGUUGUUUGUUUUUGUUCAUUCAUUAAAAAGAGAAUGUACGCAUA